CAGGUUAAGUGUUAUAGUGACAUUUUCAUUUACAUUGAAUAAAUUGCUGUGCGAUUCGGCGUAAUCUGA
rnacentral:tRNA from 1 species